rnacentral:rRNA from 1 species
CCUACGGGUGGCAGCAGUGAGGAAUAGUGGUCAAUGGGCGGAAGGCUGAACCAGCCAUGCCGCGUGAAGGGCAGGGCCCUAUGGGCGUUAAACUUCUUUUGUGCGGGAGCAAGAAUGGUCACGUGUGGCCAGACGAGAGUACCGUACGAAGAAGCAGCGGCUAAAUCCGUGCCAGCAGCCGCGGUAAUACGGGGGAUGCAAGCGUUCUCCGGAUUUAUUGGGUUUCAAGGGUGCGUAGGCUGUGAGGUAAGUCAGCGGUGAAAUGCCCCCGCUCAACGGGGUGAAGUGCCAGUGAUACUGCCUUGCUGGACUGCGGAUGCCGUCGGAGGACUGUGUGGUGUAGCGGU